UUGGAUAUUUACAACAGCAAAACGAUUGCUUUAGAACCGAGUAUUCAACUGUUGCUUCGGAUUGCGACGGAGACAUCGCGUGGGCUACGGAGGCGCUGGGUUGUUCGCCGGAAGCUGUUAACCUUUGGAUAGGCACUGAUCUCUCCGUUACUUCUUUCCACAAAGACCACUACGAGAAUCUUUACGCCGUCGUUUCAGGGGAGAAACAUUUCCUUCUCCUUCCUCCCACCGAUGUACACCGCCUCUAUGUUCAACGAUAUCCAGCAGCCAACUACUCUUACCAUCGAGUCUGUGAAGGAGGAACUGAAUCAGAAGGUUUCUACAUUGGGCAAGGAGAUUCUGAGGAGUGAGAGAAGAUGAUAACUCGAAGGAAGAUUCUUGAGAGACGAACUCAUCUUUGAAGUAAUCAGGGACAAGUCGCUUCCUUUUGCUUCCUCUCACUUCCCAAAAAACCGUGUCUUUCUCUGUAUCUCCGUUACUUUCCGACUCGGGAGCUUUGGCGAAAGCGGCUGCUGAUAAUUGUGACUGGAAGAAGACCAAGAACAGCAAGCAGAUAAAUCUAAAACGGUGAGAAGGGUCAUCCGAAUUAUCGCCACCGUUAAACCACCAACCGUCGUCUCCGCCGGAGCCAUUUCCAUUAUCAUUGUUGCCGCCCAUGUCUCCGGCAAACAUCCCGAGCGAUAGCGAUUGAUUAGUAAAGUUGUCAUUAGCAGUGGCAACUAAUGGAGGGAACUGGUAAAGCGACGGAAGCGGUUGCCGGAGUGAUUGCCGUGGGAGAAAUACACGCUGCCGGAAAGAAACAUCAUUCCACCGUCGCGAGGCGACGGAAGCGUCUCCAGUAAAUAGAUAAGAGCAGCUCAUCUUCUUCUUCACUUGGAUAUAUUUCAAUACGCCAUUUGAUUUGAUUUGAUUUGUAUGUAUAAUAAAAGAGUUUUUUUAAUUUUUCUAAUAGACCGCAUAAAAUUAGGGUUCUGGUAAUAUUAUCCCGCCGCCAUUUGUUAGAGAUCUUUCCCAUGGAGAAUUUGUGGAGAGAAGUGAGGGAGUUGAGCUUGGGUUCCGAAAUCGAUCGCCUUCAUUCUCCGCCCUCUCCGCUACACUUUCUCCGAGAUUACGUCUCUCAGAGCAAGCCUUGCGUAAUCUCCAACGCAAUUUCUCACUGGCCGGCUCUAAAACUCUGGUCUGAUCCUGCUUACCUCGCCGGAGCUUUGUCUAAUGAUCUUGUCUCACUGCAUCUCACUCCUAACGGCUGCGCCGACGCCGUCACUCCGGUUAGUGACGAUACGAGCGCCGGAGAUCUCUGUUUCGCUUCGGCUCACGUGGAGAAAGUUCCGUUCCCGGAAGCUCUUCAGGCCGUUCGAUCCUCGUCGUCUCAGGGGGAGAACGUUGGAUAUUUACAACAGCAAAACGAUUGCUUUAGAACCGAGUAUUCAACUGUUGCUUCGGAUUGCGACGGAGACAUCGCGUGGGCUACGGAGGCGCUGGGUUGUUCGCCGGAAGCUGUUAACCUUUGGAUAGGCACUGAUCUCUCCGUUACUUCUUUCCACAAAGACCACUACGAGAAUCUUUACGCCGUCGUUUCAGGGGAGAAACAUUUCCUUCUCCUUCCUCCCACCGAUGUACACCGC
rnacentral:lncRNA from 1 species